UUCGCAAUGCCCGAAAGGGUGACGAAGCGACGCCGCGUGAGCGAAGAAGGCCCUAGGGUUGUAAAGCUCUGUCGGGGGUUAUGAAAUGUAGAUCGGUUAAUACCCGGUUUAUUUGACAAAGGCCCCAAAGGAAGCCACGGCUAACUCUGUGCCAGCAGCCGCGGUAAUACAGAGGUGGCAAGCGUUGUUCGGUAUUAUUGGGCGUAAAGAGCACGUAGGUGGUUUUGUAAGUCAGAUGUGAAAGCCUUCUGUUCAAAGGAAGAACGGCAUCUGAAACUGCAGAUCUUGAGUGUAGGAGGGGAGAGUGGAACUUCUGGUGGAGCGGUGAAAUGCGUAGACAUCAGAAGGAACGUCGGCGGCGAAAGCGACUCUCUGGCCUAUUACUGACACUGAGUGUGCGAAAGUUAGGGGAGCAAACGGGAUUAGAUACCACGGUAGUCCUAACUGUAAACGAUGGGCACUAAGUAGAGGGGUUUU
rnacentral:rRNA from 1 species